rnacentral:rRNA from 1 species
GAUGAACGCUGGCGGCGUGCCUAAUACAUGCAAGUCGAGCGAACAGACGAGGAUCUUGCUUCUCUGACGUUAGCGACGGACGGGUGAGUAACAUGUGGAUAACCUCCCUAUAAGACUGCGAUAACUACUGGACACCGGACCUAAUACCGGAUAACAUGUUGAACCUGAUGGUUCAACAGUGAAAGACGGUCUUGCUGUCGCUACUAGAUGGUUCCGGGCCGCUUUAGCUAGUUGGUAAGGUAACGGCUUACCAAGGCUACGAUGCGUAGCCGACCCGAGAGAGUGAUCGGCCACACUGGAAGUGAGACACGGUCCAGACUCCUACGGGAGGAAGCAGUAGGGAAUCUUCGGCAAUGGGCGAAAGCCUGAUGCAGCAACGCCGCGUGAGUGAAGAAGGUCUUCGGAUCGUAAAGCACUGGUAUUAGGGAAGAACAAAUGUGUAUGAAGCUAUGGAUGUAUUGACGGUACCUGGACAAAAAGCAACGGCUAACUACGUG